CCCUUAGAUGUUCUGGGCCGCACGCGCGCUACACUGGUGCAGUCAGAGAGUAAUGUUCUGAGUAUCAGAUCCUUGGUCGGAAGGCCUGGGUAAUCUGUGAACCUGCAUCGUGAUGGGGAUAGAUUCUUGUAAUUUUUAAUCUUGAACGAGGAAUUCCUAGUAAACGCGAGUCAUCAACUCGCAUUGAUUACGUCCCUGCCCUUUGUACACACCGCCCGUCGCACCUACCGAUUGGAUGGUCCGAUGAGACCUCCGGACUUUGCGGCGUUGGUUUUUCGGAGCCUCGCAGCGAGGGAAGUUGGUCAAAUCUUACCAUCUAGAGGAAGGUGAAGUCGUAACA
rnacentral:rRNA from 1 species